GCAAGUCGAGCGCAGUCCUUUGGGACCGAGCGGCGGACGGGUUAGUAACGCGUGGGAACAUACCCUUCUCUAAGGAAUAGCCUCGGGAAACUGAGAGUAAUACCUUAUAAGCCCUUCGGGGGAAAGAUUUAUCGGUGAAGGAUUGGCCCGCGUUAGAUUAGAUAGUUGGUGGGGUAACGGCCUACCAAGUCUACGAUCUAUAGCUGGUUUUAGAGGAUGAUC
rnacentral:rRNA from 1 species